GACAGAGGGUGCAAGCGUUGUUCGGAAUUACUGGGCGUAAAGCGCAUGUAGGCGGCCAAGCAGGUCGGAUGUGAAAUCCCUCGGCUCAACCAAGGAAGUGCAUUCGAAACCGCAUGGCUGGAGUCCCGGAGAGGGUAGUGGAAUUCUCGGUGUAGAGGUGAAAUUCGUAGAUAUCGAGAGGAACACCGGCGGCGAAAGCGGCUACCUGGACGAGGACUGACGCUGAGAUGCGAAAGCGUGGGGAGCAAACAGG
rnacentral:rRNA from 1 species